GCCUUCGUAGUGUAGUGGUAAGCACGCUCGACGCGUAACCGAGAGGUCCGUGGUUCGAUUCCCGGCGAAGGCG
rnacentral:tRNA from 1 species